AGCGAACGCUGGCGGCAGGCCUAACACAUGCAAGUCGAACGAACCCUUCGGGGUUAGUGGCGGACGGGUGAGUAACACGUGGGAACGUGCCUUUAGGUUCGGAAUAACUCAGGGAAACUUGUGCUAAUACCGAAUGUGCCCUUCGGGGGAAAGAUUUAUCGCCUUUAGAGCGGCCCGCGUCUGAUUAGCUAGUUGGUGAGGUAAUGGCUCACCAAGGCUACGAUCAGUAGCUGGUCUGAGAGGAUGACCAGCCACAUUGGGACUGAGACACGGCCCAAACUCCUACGGGAGGCAGCAGUGGGGAAUCUUGCGCAAUGGGCGAAAGCUGACGCAGCCAUGCCGCGUGGAUGAUGAAGGUCUUAGGAUUGUAAAAUCCUUUCACCGGUGAAGAUAAUGACUGUAGCCGGAGAAGAAGCCCCGGCUAACUUCGUGCCAGCAGCCGCAGUAAGAC
rnacentral:rRNA from 1 species